AGCAGCCGCCGCGGGAAUACGAAGGGUGCAAGCGUUAAUCGGAAUUACUGGGCGUAAAGGGUGCGUAGGCGGUUGUUUAAGUCUGUUGUGAAAUCCCCGGGCUCAACCUGGGAAUGGCAAUGGAAACUGGACGGCUAGAGUGUGUCAGAGGAUGGUGGAAUUCCCGGUGUAGCGGUGAAAUGCGUAGAGAUCGGGAGGAACAUCAGUGGCGAAGGCGGCCAUCUGGGACAACACUGACGCUGAAGCACGAAGCGCGGGGAGCAAACAGGAUUAGAUACCCGCGUAGUCCCUGUCUCUUAUACA
rnacentral:rRNA from 1 species